rnacentral:rRNA from 1 species
UACGUAGGGUGCGAGCGUUGUCCGGAAUUAUUGGGCGUAAAGAGCUCGUAGGCGGUGUGUCGCGUCGGCCGUGAAAACCUGCAGCUUAACUGUGGGCUUGCGGUCGAUACGGGCAUCACUGGAGUUCGGCAGGGGAGACUGGAAUUCCUGAUGUAGCGGUGAAAUGCGCAGAUAUCGGGAGGAACACCGAUGGCGAAGGCAGCACUCUGGGCCGGUACUGACGCUGAGGAGCGAAAGCGUGGGGAGCGAACAGG